UACGGAGGAUCCAAGCGUUAUCCGGAAUCAUUGGGUUUAAAGGGUGCGCAGGCGGAAGAUUAAGUCAGUGGUGAAAGCCCGCAGCUCAACUGCGGAACUGCCAUUGAUACUGGUUUUCUUGAGUAUGUUCGAAGUAAGCGGAAUAAGGCAUGUAGCGGUGAAAUGCAUAGAUAUGCCUUAGAACACCGAUAGCGAAGGCAGCUUACUAGGUCAUAACUGACGCUGAGGCACGAAAGCGUGGGGAGCGAACAGG
rnacentral:rRNA from 1 species